CCCCAAACAUCCCCUUAACCCCUCUCCACCCCUGUCUUAUCUCCCCGGGCUAGCCCCCAAACGCCACUUUAACCCUCCCACGCGCCUCCCCCUUAACCCUCCCAGGCUAGUCCCCAAAUACCACCUUAACCCCCUCCACCACCCCCUUAACCCUCCCAGGCUAGUCCCCAAAUACCACCUUAACCCCCUCCACCACCCCCUUAACCCUCCCAGGCUAGCCCCCAAAUGCCCCCUCUGCCACCCCCUUAACCACACUGAGCUAGUCCCCCAAAAAACCCUUACCCCCCACACCAUCCCCUUAUCUGCCCUGGACUAGCCCCCAAAUGUCCCUUUAAUCUCCCAUCACUCCCUUAACUACCCAGGGCUAGUCCCCCAUGCCACUCCCUGAGCCACCCUCAAACACCUCCUUAAUGCCCAUGCUAACCCCCCUUAAUCCCUCUGUGGUACACAUUUUGUGCCACCCCCCUUAAACUUUCCAUGCUAGCCCCCCCCAAAACCCCUCAAACCCCUUAGGCUAGUCCCCUGUGCCAGGCCACCUCCUUAAUCUCUCUUAAAUCCCUGUCCCAGCCCCUCCACCAAAUGCCUAUGCCAACCCACUCCUCAGGCUUAACCACUCUCUUGCUAGUGUCAAAUCUCUCCCUAGCCCCCACCCCCCGACCUAUUCGCUGCUGCCAGUGCUUAACCUGUCCCUGUCCACUCUGCCAUGCAAAACACUCUCUACCAAAGAAAGCAUUCCGCUGCCACUGCCAAACCCCGCCUGACCACCAAACUCCUCUUUAAUGGUGUACCAAACCACGUUCAGCUGCUGGUGCCAAAUCCUUCCUUACCCUCUUCUCCGAUCACUCCGCUGCCAUUGCAGCCAACCCCAUCUCUAGCCUGCCCUUUACCUUCUACUACAGGUUGAACCUCUCUAGUCCACCCUCAGGACCUGAUGGAUGCCAAACCACGGGAGGUCAAAGCAGAGUGCGAGCGGGUCGUCAUAGGUGCAGGUCUCCAUAGGCGCAGCAUCUCCAGGCUUUAGGCGCAGCAUGGUCCCUCGCCCAGGGGCCCCACUGCCACCCAGGAUCCUGGCCGCUGGCCCCCUACCCGGGGGCUCCAAUGCUGGCCCCAUGUCCUAGCUGGUGGCCACAGGUCCUCCCUUUCCCUUCCAGAGAUUGAACACCAUGAAUCAGCUGUUCGCGGCACUCCAGAAGCACUGGGAGGGAGAGAGGAGGAGUUGGAGGAGGAGGUUUGGCAGAGGGUGUGUGCCACACACACACACACAAUGUAAUUCUGCCUGAUCACGGCAGGGAAAUUUAUCUUUCAGGUGUCAAUUCUGGAAGGACUGAACACUGACUCUAAUUGAAGGAGCUAGAGAAACUCAUUGCUACUAAUUCACUGCAAUCAUAAUUAUCACCCUAACAGAUGCUGGCAGGCUGGAAGCUGCACCAGCCCUCCCAUACAGUAGAACUCUGGAUUAGCUUCUCUGCUGUCAAUGACUUUUAAAGUCACACUGAAGUUGGGGAAAACAUCUGUUUUCCAGAGAAAUUAGGGGAGGAUUUGUUGAGAAGACCAAUAUUAUGGCCAAAUGGCUUGUGUACGCUACCGGCCGGAUUGAUGGGCAGCGAUCAACCCAGUGGGGGUUAAUAAAUCGACCGCAGAUUGCUCUAGCAUCGACUCUGGUACUCCACCUCAAUGAGAAGCACAAGGGGAAUGAACGAGAGCGUCUCCUGUUGACACACCGCGAUCGUUGGCCACGCAUUCUCCAGAAAUCUGCCCUGUCACUCGAGCCAUCUCUUUGGGCAUUCUGAACACUGGCCAUCUGCUCGGCUCUGAAAGGAACAGCAUGGAAUCCAUUUGAAAAAUGCAAUCAAAGGGAAAACAUGCCACACUAAAGAAAGAACCUCAGCAAGACCCAGGAUAUGACUUUGUAACUACAGUGGACAACUUGGCAGAUACCGUGGCUGAAGGGGAAGGCAGCAAGGAGUAGCAUCUUGGCUGCUGAAGGCAGAAGCUACUGGGCAUAGGAGACAAGAACUAAAUGGCGGAGGUUCAGAGCUAGCAAGAGGUGCUUAUUACAGGCUGGGUGGAUGAGUAGAGGAGCAGGGCUCAUCUUUGACCAGCUGAGUGGUGAAGUGGCCAACCCACCUCUCCUCCUCCACGUGACCAGGAUGGGAGUCAGCUGGACACAAAAGCAAUAAUUUUCUACAAUACUUAAAAUGAGGGCAAUUAAAAAGUGUUUUGAAAUGUGAGAAAUGAGAAAGAGCAUUUGUGAAAUCCCCAGCAAAACACAGCUGAGUUGAAAGGCCUACUGUUCUUUUCAAUGCCUGUCAUACUGAAUCAUAACAAACAUUGUCACACCUUUGGUGCCAGGUGCUUACCUUCAUAUUUGCUCUGAGCCAAAAUGGUCACAGUUUCACCUUUGGGAAUUUCUAACAAGUAGAGAACAGCAUCCUCCCGCACAAUGCCUCUAAA